UAGGUAGCGCCUCGUGAAUUCAUCUCCGGGGGUAGAGCACUGUUUCGGCUAGGGGGCCAUCCCGGCUUACCAACCCGAUGCAAACUGCGAAUACCGGAGAAUGUUAUCACGGGAGACACACGGCGGGUGCUAACGUCCGUCGUGAAGAGGGAAACAACCCAGACCGCCAGCUAAGGUCCCAAAGUCAUGGUUAAGUGGGAAACGAUGUGGGAAGGCCCAGACAGCCAGGAUGUUGGCUUAGAAGCAGCCAUCAUUUAAAGAAAGCGUAAUAGCUCACUGGUCGAGUCGGCCUGCGCGGAAGAUGUAACGGGGCUAAACCAUGCACCGAAGCUGCGGCAGCGACGCUGAUGCGUUGUUGGGUAGGGGAGCGUUCUGUAAGCCUGCGAAGGUGGCCUGUGAGGGUUGCUGGAGGUAUCAGAAGUGCGAAUGCUGACAUAAGUAACGAUAAAGCGGGUGAAAAGCCCGCUCGCCGGAAGACCAAGGGUUCCUGUCCAACGUUAAUCGGGGCAGGGUGAGUCGACCCCUAAGGCGAGGCCGAAAGGCGUAGUCGAUGGGAAACGGGUUAAUAUUCCCGUACUUGGUGUUACUGCGAAGGGGGGACGGAGAAGGCUAUGUUGGCCGGGCGACGGUUGUCCCGGUUUAAGCGUGUAGGUGUGUGUUCCAGGUAAAUCCGGUUCACUUUAACACUGAGGCGUGAUGACGAGGCACUACGGUGCUGAAGCAACAAAUGCCCUGCUUCCAGGAAAAGCCUCUAAGCAUCAGGUAACAUCAAAUCGUACCCCAAACCGACACAGGUGGUCAGGUAGAGAAUACCAAGGCGCUUGAGAGAACUCGGGUGAAGGAACUAGGCAAAAUGGUGCCGUAACUUCGGGAGAAGGCACGCUGACACGUAGGUGAAGUGAUUUACUCAUGGAGCUGAAGUCAGUCGAAGAUACCAGCUGGCUGCAACUGUUUAUUAAAAACACAGCACUGUGCAAACACGAAAGUGGACGUAUACGGUGUGACGCCUGCCCGGUGCCGGAAGGUUAAUUGAUGGGGUCAGCGCAAGCGAAGCUCCUGAUCGAAGCCCCGGUAAACGGCGGCCGUAACUAUAACGGUCCUAAGGUAGCGAAAUUCCUUGUCGGGUAAGUUCCGACCUGCACGAAUGGCGUAAUGAUGGCCAGGCUGUCUCCACCCGAGACUCAGUGAAAUUGAACUCGCUGUGAAGAUGCAGUGUACCCGCGGCAAGACGGAAAGACCCCGUGAACCUUUACUAUAGCUUGACACUGAACAUUGAGCCUUGAUGUGUAGGAUAGGUGGGAGGCUUUGAAGUGUGGACGCCAGUCUGCAUGGAGCCGGCCUUGAAAUACCACCCUUUAAUGUUUGAUGUUCUAACGUGGACCCGUGAUCCGGGUUGCGGACAGUGUCUGGUGGGUAGUUUGACUGGGGCGGUCUCCUCCUAAAGAGUAACGGAGGAGCACGAAGGUUGGCUAAUCCUGGUCGGACAUCAGGAGGUUAGUGCAAUGGCAUAAGCCAGCUUGACUGCGAGCGUGACGGCGCGAGCAGGUGCGAAAGCAGGUCAUAGUGAUCCGGUGGUUCUGAAUGGAAGGGCCAUCGCUCAACGGAUAAAAGGUACUCCGGGGAUAACAGGCUGAUACCGCCCAAGAGUUCAUAUCGACGGCGGUGUUUGGCACCUCGAUGUCGGCUCAUCACAUCCUGGGGCUGAAGUAGGUCCCAAGGGUAUGGCUGUUCGCCAUUUAAAGUGGUACGCGAGCUGGGUUUAGAACGUCGUGAGACAGUUCGGUCCCUAUCUGCCGUGGGCGCUGGAGAACUGAGGGGGGCUGCUCCUAGUACGAGAGGACCGGAGUGGACGCAUCACUGGUGUUCGGGUUGUCAUGCCAAUGGCACUGCCCGGUAGCUAAAUGCGGAAGAGAUAAGUGCUGAAAGCAUCUAAGCACGAAACUUGCCCCGAGAUGAGUUCUCCCUGAGACUUAGAGUCUCCUGAAGGAACGUUGAAGACGACGACGUUGAUAGGCCGGGUGUGUAAGCGCAGCGAUGCGUUGAGCUAACCGGUACUAAUGAACCGUGAGGCUUAACCUU
rnacentral:rRNA from 1 species